rnacentral:lncRNA from 1 species
GCAAAGACUCCUUUUCUCGAGGGAGUUAAGACAUACAUAUUAGAGGCAAGUAGAGAGCGGCCGUACUUGUCGUCGGCUUCCACGCAGCCGCACCAUAAGCACGAAGCUGAGAGGCCAUAAACAUGCAGAGGCUACUUUUCAAAGAUUACACUGAUUACUCUCAAGGAAGAAAAUAUGUAAUUCAUAGAAGUAUAUCGACAUAGCAAAAUCUUUUGAUCUCCAUGAUUCCACUGAGAUUGAUUUGCCUGGGGCUGGGGACCCAUCCAGGACUAUAGGAUAGCAAAAUCAAUGAAUCUAACAAAUUGCAAGGUAAUGGGAAAUUUUGUGGCAAUGAAGGACCAGGAGGAGGGAACCUGUGAUAGCAGGGUUGAUUCAGUUAGGGGUGAUGAAUCCCGAGCUCUCCGGCACCAAAGAGUCCCUCUGUUGCCACCAUCCUAUGAAAUUACUCUCAGUUAGAUCGAGAUAGUCAGGGAUUCUCAAGCCUGUGCAAAAUUCUAAUCCCUCACAAGUCUGUAGAUAAGCUAUUCUACAAUCGACUAUUGGAUCGAAAGACCCUGCAACUUUUUACAUACUCGCACGGGGAAAUCACAAGCGCCAACGACCCCAAGAGGUGCGCCUGGGUGAGAGGGGCGUACAAGGAGGUGGAUGCCCCAUAGGCAACGCGGAGGAAACAGUCAGAGGUGCAGGCGCCGCGCCGGCGUCCAUGGUGACACCGCAUACCAGCAGUC